GACGAACGCUGGCGGCGUGCUUAACACAUGCAAGUCGAACGGAAGGGCCCUGCUUGCAGGGUACUCGAGUGGCGAACGGGUGAGUAACACGUGGGUGAUCUGCCCUGCACUUCGGGAUAAGCCUGGGAAACUGGGUCUAAUACCGGAUAUGACCUUCCAUGUAGUGUGGGGGGUGGAAAGAUUUAUCGGUGUGGGAUGAGCCCGCGGCCUAUCAGCUUGUUGGUGGGGUAAUGGCCUACCAAGGCGUCGACGGGUAGCCGGCCUGAGAGGGUGGACGGCCACAUUGGGACUGAGAUACGGCCCAGACUCCUACGGGAGGCAGCAGUGGGGAAUAUUGCACAAUGGGCGGAAGCCUGAUGCAGCGACGCCGCGUGGGGGAUGACGGCCUUCGGGUUGUAAACCUCUUUCGACAGGGACGAAGCUUCGGUGACGGUACCUGUAUAAGAAGCACCGGCUAACUACGUG
rnacentral:rRNA from 1 species